rnacentral:rRNA from 1 species
UACAGAGACCUCAAGCGUUAUCCGGAAUCAUUGGGCGUAAAGCGUGCCGAUAGGUGGUUUUAUUAGUCUUGGGUAAAAGCCAGAAGCUUAACUUCUGAGUUUGCUUAAGAUACUGUAAGACUAGAGGGGCGAAGAGGUGCUUGGAACGAAUGGUGUAGUAGUGAAAUGCGUUGAUAUCAUUCGGAACACCGAAAGCGAAGGCAGAGCACUGGGUGCCACCUGACACUGCUAGGACGAAAGCGUGGGUAGCGAAUGGG